rnacentral:rRNA from 1 species
UGGGGAAUAUUGCACAAUGGGCGCAAGCCUGAUGCAGCCAUGCCGCGUGUAUGAAGAAGGCCUUCGGGUUGUAAAGUACUUUCAGCGGGGAGGAAGGGAGUAAAGUUAAUACCUUUGCUCAUUGACGUUACCCGCAGAAGAAGCACCGGCUAACUCCGUGCCAGCAGCCGCGGUAAUACGGAGGGUGCAAGCGUUAAUCGGAAUUACUGGGCGUAAAGCGCACGCAGGCGGUUUGUUAAGUCAGAUGUGAAAUCCUCGGGCUCAACCUGGGAACUGCAUCUGAUACUGGCAAGCUUGAGUCUCGUAGAGGGGGGUAGAAUUCCAGGUGUAGCGGUGAAAUGCGUAGAGAUCUGGAGGAAUACCGGUGGCGAAGGCGGCCCCAUGGACAAAGACUGACGCUCAGGUGCGAAAGCGUGGGGAGCAAACAGG